rnacentral:rRNA from 1 species
AGUGAACGCUGGCGGUAGGCCUAACACAUGCAAGUCGAACGGCAGCACAGUAAGAGCUUGCUCUUACGGGUGGCGAGUGGCGGACGGGUGAGGAAUACAUCGGAAUCUACUUUUUCGUGGGGGAUAACGUAGGGAAACUUACGCUAAUACCGCAUACGACCUACGGGUGAAAGCAGGGGAUCUUCGGACCUUGCGCGAUUGAAUGAGCCGAUGUCGGAUUAGCUAGUUGGCGGGGCAAAGGCCCACCAAGGCGACGAUCCGUAGCUGGUCUGAGAGGAUGAUCAGCCACACUGGAACUGAGACACGGUCCAGACUCCUACGGGAGGCAGCAGUGGGGAAUAUUGGACAAUGGGCGCAAGCCUGAUCCAGCCAUACCGCGUGGGUGAAGAAGGCCUUCGGGUUGUAAAGCCCUUUUGUUGGGAAAGAAAAGCAGCAGGUUAAUACCCCGCUGUUCUGACGUUACCCAAAGAAUAAGCACCGGCUAACUUCGUG